rnacentral:piRNA from 1 species
UAAUAAGGAAGGUGUUGGAGAACCAGA